rnacentral:tRNA from 1 species
GUCAGGAUGGCCGAGCGGUCUAAGGCGCCAGACUCAAGUGUGAAUACUUGUUCUGUUCUAACAGAAUUUGUGGUGAGCGUUCUGGUCCUCUCUGAGGGCGUGGGUUCAAAUCCCACUCCUGACA